UUAGAGUUUUUGAUCAUGGGCUCAGGACGAACGCUGGCGGCGUGCCUAAUACAUGCAAGUCGAGCGCAGGAAGCCGUCUGAACCCUUCGGGGGGACGACGGUGGAAUGAGCGGCGGACGGGUGAGUAACACGUAAAGAACCUGCCCAUAGGUCUGGGAUAACCACGAGAAAUCGGGGCUAAUACCGGAUGUGUCAUCGGACCGCAUGGUCCGCUGAUGAAAGGCGCUUCGGCGUCGCCCAUGGAUGGCUUUGCGGUGCAUUAGCUAGUUGGUGGGGUAACGGCCCACCAAGGCGACGAUGCAUAGCCGACCUGAGAGGGUGAUCGGCCACACUGGGACUGAGACACGGCCCAGACUCCUACGGGAGGCAGCAGUAGGGAAUCUUCCACAAUGGACGAAAGUCUGAUGGAGCAACGCCGCGUGAACGAUGAAAGGCUUUCGGGUCGUAAAGUUCUGUUUGUAAGGGGAAAGAAACAAGUUGCCCGCCAGGCAAUGGGCGGCACCCUUGACGGGUUACCCUUUGCGAAGAAAAGCCCACGGCUAACUUACGUUGCCC
rnacentral:rRNA from 1 species